UUUUCUCUAGGACUCUUUUGGUGUGCCUUCUUUCUUCAUUGAGUUCUUUAUUUUCUUGCUUGUCUUUCAUUCAUUAAUCUUUGAGUUUGUCUUACAUAUAGUAUUCCUUUUGCAAUUACCUUUCUUUGCUUAUACCUUUUCUUGUUUGUCAUUCUUUCUUCUUUGGUUUUGUGGUGAAGUACUUUCAAGAUUGUGUGCUCUUGCUUUGG
rnacentral:lncRNA from 1 species